GAUGAACGCUGGCGGCGUGCCUAAUACAUGCAAGUCGAGCGAACAGACGAGGAGCUUGCUCCUCUGACGUUAGCGGCGGACGGGUGAGUAACACGUGGAUAACCUACCUAUAAGACUGGGCUAACUUCGGGAAACCGGAGCUAAUACCGGAUAAUAUAUUGAACCGCAUGGUUCAAUAGUGAAAGACGGUUUUGCUGUCACUUAUAGAUGGAUCCGCGCCGCAUUAGCUAGUUGGUAAGGUAACGGCUUACCAAGGCAACGAUGCGUAGCCGACCUGAGAGGGUGUUCGGCCACACUGGAACUGAGACACGGUCCAGACUCCUACGGGAGGCAGCAGUAGGGAAGCUUCCGCAAUGGGCGAAAGCCUGACGGAGCAACGCCGCGUGAGUGAUGAAGGUCUUCGGAUCGUAAAACUCUGUUAUUAGGGAAGAACAAAUGUGUAAGUAACUAUGCACGUCUUGACGGUACCUAAUCAGAAAGCCACGGCUAACUACGUG
rnacentral:rRNA from 1 species